ensembl:lncRNA
AGAAAGUAGAAGAAUAACUUCUGUUGCCAGCUCAUGUGUGCAGAGUGGCUCUGUGUCAAAGUCCACACUUUCCACACUCUGGGGGAGUAUCUCCCAGGGCAGAACUUAAACAGCAGCUACUGGUAUGGCAGCAAGACCAUAUCUGACACUGGUCCUAGAGCUGCAUAUCCAUGAAUGUCCUCAGCAUGCACUGGAUGUUCCAAAUUAUCUUCCACCUCUGCAACACCAGAUGAACUGAACUGCUCACAGAUUGGACUGCUGACAUAAACCAUCAAUGUGAAUUCAACCACUGCACUUCAAUCAACUUCAGCAUGAGCCUGAUUAACUCAGAGCAUUGGCGGUCUGCACUAAACAACCCAUCAUCUGGCAGUCACUCACAGUACCUGAAAAGCCCAGCCAGACCUGGACUACUUGGCCUUGAACAGAGUCUUCUGCACAAACAGCAAGGGCAAGCCUACCAUCAGGAGCUUUAAAUGGAAUCAGUUAAGGCAAAACAAGAUGAAAUUUAAAGGCCGUGAAGCAAGGUCACUUACAUCCAGAUUCAGCCAACUACAUUUAAAAUGUGGUUCAACUAAGACUCUACGUUAGCUAAGCACGCAAGUGGCCUCUCCUGAAAGUGAAGAUCCAGGCUAUAGAGUCCAUGGAGAGAAUUAAUGGCAGACCAAAUGCAGGGCUCUGAUUUGAUUGAAGUUUCAGAUCUCCACUAUUUGUAAUGGGAUAUUAUGGACCAAGCUCACCUGCGCAAACCCACAUGUAGAAAGUCACAUUUAGACCUCUUAAUCUGAGCUACUGCAAUGGUUGAAGGCUGGCUGUAGACCCAUGUGAGAUUUCUCCACCUAGUGGAUACUCCACUUCAUUAACCAUUUUAUAAAAUAUCUUCACCUUGUCUUUAGCAAUUGCUAAGUUAAGCAGCCUAAUUUCUCCACCAUUUCACUAGUCUGUCCAUGCUUUGUAGAGGGAUGAAAUGGAUGAUACACUGAGUCUUCUUCAGAUCUAAGUGUAAGAGGAACCUUUAUGUGACUUCUGGAAUCCUCACUGUACUGUCUCCAAUUUCUUCCUGUUAAAUGAUUUUUAUUUAUUCAUUUACUAAUUUAUUACUGUGAGUAUAUUUUCCAAGCCAUCAUAGAAGCAGAAUACAACAAAAUAUGAGGUGACUAGAGCAAGAAUUGUAUUGAGAAAAAAACCUUAAAACUGUGAACAUUGCUGGACAUAAGGGUGCUUUGAGAGAGCUCUGACUGCAAGAUGCCACCAGAAAAAUGAUUUUUUUUCUUAUUUCUGUCCAUAUUAGAGGAAGAAAUAAAUUUCUAACUGUGACACAUCCUUCUGAGCAAGCUGUUUUGGAUUAAAUCCCAUCAAAGCUUUAUGUAUUUUGACAGGUCUGACAUGGUUAAGCACAGGCAUGGGCUUGAACAGUUUCACUCCAAAAAGAAAUUUAAUUAGAAGUUACUAUAGGAUAAGAAUACUUUCCCAUGACAGAUAGAGGUAGUAGGGCUGCAGACCAGUUGACGCAUAAAGAUCUCACUUCUAUGUUAAAAAUAACUGUGCUAACUUCUAAAAUAUCAUUUUGUUAUCAUUUGAAAUACACAGCCCUUGUAAAAUGCAAUAAAGAUGCCACCCAGAGAAAGCAGAUGUCUCUCAGCACAUUGUAAUGUCAGCAUCAGCUGUUUGUUGUCUGUGAGCGCUCUGUGGGCAAGUGACAAAAGAUGGUUUCUUUAAAAUUUCAUUAAAAAAAAAAAAAAAGCUCAAUUAGAUCUUAAUUGAGCCUAUUAGGUUUUACCUUUGGGGGACAUAAUUUCACGUUUACAUUGGAGUCCAAACAGAGAUAUCAUCCCUGCCUUUGUUCUCCCCCAUUUGCUAAUGUAUGUGCAAUUAAAUAUUUUAACAUUGACACAUCUGGCUCUUUUAUUCAAUUAACAUCUUUUUGUCUGUAUGUUUCUGCACUGCAGUGAUUCAAAAUCCUGACAAUAACCAAUUCUGCAUAAAUUGUAGAAGAUUAGGUUUUUCCUCAGAGGUUCAUUGUUGGUCCAUAACAUCCCUCAGGGCAUUCGGGUUUGAAUAAUCUCCUUAAGCCUCCAUGCAAAAUUCAAGAAAACUGAUAUAGCUUGUUUGUCUUGGGUCCAUAUUGGCUUGCAAGUUACCUUACACCAAGGAUUUGUACAAGCUCUUGAGUUUCUCUUGAACCUCUUCUCACUUCCUUUCCAUCUCUUCUAGAGUUACAGUCUUGUGAAAAUGAAAUCAAUAGAAAAAAAAGAAGCACUGGAUAAUUUAUUUCUCUACAUCUUUAAUGUCUUUGGCAGUUCUAGAAUUUACUGAUCUUUACUGAACACAGUGACGCUCAAAUGUUCUUUCUUACUUGGGAUAUUCUAUGAUCCUGUGACUAUGUUUUAUUUACAGGAAGUGGGAGAAGAGUCUUCUUUCUUCUCUCUCCUCUUUGUCUCUCAAUUCAGCACUUCUGGAAUGCGCUCCCCAAACUCAUCUGGGUUUAGAGUUUACUUCAGAUGGGAUUCAUUUCCUCUAAAUUAGGCAUCUGAAGAUUGAAUAUGUAAAUCUAAGCAGUCACCAAAGGUGACCUUGUCAGUCACUAGAUAGGAAGUUGGCAGACAGGAAAAGUGUGUUGGAUCUCUUUUCAAGGUGACCUGAUCAUGAAGAGAAAGCACAAUACUACCAUAAAUGUAGUUUACAUGAGAUUAACCUCACCCUUGCCUUCCUCUGUAGUCCUGUAUGCAGGAACAGGUACACCCUGGAUGGCUUACCUUUCAAAACUGGACAAAAGUGGAUAUUUUCCCAACUAAGAAAUUGUAGUCAGGAGAAGAGAAGACUGGUCAAAUGCAGGAAAAAAAAUGCUCAGCAACCUCUUCACUCAAUGACUCAUUGAAUCUCCCUCUGGAAGUGCAAAGAAGUGCCAUAACAUAGCAUGUUUACCUUUUAUGAUUUUAACACAGCCGAUUUAUUGCACAGAACAGCCACUCAAUGGCUAGACUCAUAGCCAGCUAUAAUAUAUACAGAGAGAGAGAGCUGCAAAAGCUCUGCAUGGAAACCUGCAUUUGUUUAAAGGAUUUGUUGAUAUUAAGACCAGAAGAGAUCGUCGCAAUCUUCCAUUUUGAUCUGGAGCAGACUGCUCUAGCUCUCUAGGGCUGAAGUGGAGUUUACUCUUUAAAAGAGAAAUCUGGGCCUGCAUGAAAUACAGCAAGCAACAAAGAAAUAUGCCAUUUUAUUCUUUCCUUUCAAUUUCUGCCUCUAAGUUUAUGAUCUUUAUGUACUUUCAAACUCUGGGAAGCACAAAAUUUGCAGUUUUGCCUUUGUUUAGCACCAAAUUGAGCAUUGCUCUGGUACUGCUGAGAAUUCUGUUUUCCAUCAAAGUCCUGAGCUGCUAUGUGUUAAUACUUGUGUAUGAGUGCUCUCACAUACCUGAAAGAUAUUUGCCAUUUUCUUCAUCUUGAUUUCUCUGACUAAACAUCAAGAACUAUAGGAAUUACCUGUCAGCAGAUCAAAACACUUGGGAUUUGUCAUGCUUAUCCUUUGUAUUGAGUAACUUAUUUUUCCUAACUUUACUGAAAGAAGUGCCUUCUCAUGGGAAUGUAUCUAUUGAAUUAAAGACAGGCAAGGAAUAUGCCCAGAAACUGUAAGUUUUUUGGUAUAUCUGUGAAUUUCUAGUGUUGUCCCAACGUGAACAACAGCCCUUCUGGGCCAGCAGCCUCCAGUGGUACCCCCCAGAACUACUGCAGGGCAUUUGACACCACUGUUUUAAGUCUUAAAGGAGUUCAGUUCAGUAACAAAGACAAGGGCUUCUGCACAGUGCUUGGCCUAAGAAACAUAAAAUGGAUACUGAUCCUGCUGGAUUUACUGUAUGUUCUUUCCCUGAAAACCUCACCAUGUAUUUAAAUCAAAAAGGAAAUAUGCUGUAGGAGGAAACUCUUCUAUUUACAGUUUUAAGAGGAGAAAUGAGGCCAGUAACGAUUAAAUGUUUGUCCGGUGGUUUGUUCGUUUGAUUAAUUAUUGAUAAUUAUUAAGUAUUUUUAGUGUAAUUUAUUGCUUCCUCAUGUUGCUGUCAACCCAUAAUAGCUAUAGGAAAACAGAGAGGAAUCUGUAAUGUGGGUUAAUGAAUAAUCCUGUGUCUUGUAUAAACUUGGAUUUUAGUAUCUUUUUAUUGCAAUAUUCACAGCAGCUGUUCCAUACAAGCACAUUAAAUGAACACGUGCAUUUUCUGCAUACCUAUGGGCAGCUGCAGCAGUAGAGUUUGCCCACACAGCUUCCCUCAAAUCUGCCCCACUCUUCCUUACGGCCCAGUGACCCUGGCUGUUCCCCAUACUGUAUGUGGGUAGUGCAUGGGAGAGCAGGGGAGAGGCAUGGGCCACAUCUGUGUCAGACCAUGCCAGCUUUGGCAACAUGGGCAAUUUGGAGCAUUGUUCAAGCCUGAGUCCUGAUCUUUGAUCUCUUCUUGAGCUGACGAAGCCAAGA